AGACAGAAGCAAGCGAGAAAUCUGCAAAAGAACUCUGGCAGUUCUCCAAGAUGCUUGAAACAAACUACCAGCUGACUUUCUUAUAAAACUGCAUAACAGUUUUAAGAAAAUUGAUGCGGUUUUAAAGGCAAAGGAUGGUCACACCAAAUAUUGAUUUGAUUUAGUUUUUUUUUACUGUUCACUGUUUUUUAUAGUAAUUUUUUUGAUAUUUAGAAACUUCUAAUUUCAUUAUUUUUGAAAGCCACUUUACAGAAAUGUUUUACAUGUGCCUAAGACUCUUGCACAAUACUGUACAUCCAGGAUGAAAAGAACACAUGUAAACCAGCUUCAGUUAGGAAGUCACCCCACCAUAGUUAUUUCAUAAACACUGUCUACUGACUAGUGGUUGAGGUUUCAGAGUAUCACUGCAAUUGUGUUCUUGUUACAAGAAGAGAAGAGGAAGGAAAUAAUGUACAGAAUUGUUCCUUUGGCUUUAGUAGUAACCAUAAAGUUGUAUUUUAAAUAGUUCCUCAAAUUAAUCUGGCUGAUUUUGUUUGUGUAAUUGCAAUGGACUGUGGAAUUAUACUUACUCCAAGCAAGGAACAAACAACAGUUGAAUUUAAGGUCAUUGAAAGUGGCUAGGUUUGACAGUGAAUUUAUUUUUUUAAUAUUUCCAAGAGUGAUAUUUAAAACUAUUUUGUCCACCCAGCUACCUUCACCCCUGAACAGUUAUGGCAGCCAUUCCAAGGAGGGGAAUUUACUGAAGGCAUAGAUGUAAAGAGUAGGCAUACAACAAGCUGAUGCACAUGUUCUAAUCACUUUUCAAUUGCAUAACCAGCAUUCUAUGGAAACAAUUACUGAAGACUGGAAAAUUGAGUUGAAUGUGUUGAUAUUGUAAGGAUAAGUUUACCAAAACUGAUGAUAGGAAACAUCCCAACUUGUCAGUUUUCCAACAUUUAGCUCUGCAUUGAAUGCUAUGAUUUGGAAUUAAGUCAUGAUAAUCUUACAAAGAUUUUAUUUUUCAACCAGUUUAUUUUUAUAUUUACCCCCAGUUAAAUUUGGACCAAUUCCAAGACUGCCUAGUUUUGUGCAAGAAAAAAGAAAACAAGCAAAUUGAGAACUUCAAUACUUCAUUCUACUCAUUUCCAGUUACUGGUGAGCUGCUUUUUUCAAAGUUGACUAGAAGUCUGAGUAACAGUGUGCACCCAACUUGAAGUGAAAAGAGAAUAGGAAGAGACUAAACAUUUUCUUGGCUUCGAAGUUAGGUAAUAAUAUAUGAGAAAAAUUAAAAGGACAGAAAGUUGUUUGGAGCAAUAAAUGAUGCUAGCAUGCCAAUGAUAAACACACAAGAGAAAAGGUGCAGUUAAGCUCCACACAAUUUAUAGUAUGAAGAUAAAUUGGGAACUGUGACAGGACUGUUUUCUUGUGUUAUAAUCUGAGAUUGAAUCUCCCAUAUUUCAUAUUGAAUAACUUUUACUUUGUUCUGUAUCGUACUUCUAAGGAUACCCAAAGUUUCCUCCAGAUGAGAAAUCUACUUUUACUUAACUAUCCAGAUGGGAGGCUGAGCGAUACACACGCUCAGCAGGAGCGUUCUGGAGGAACUCGGCAGGCCAGACAGCGUCACUGGAAAAGAAUACAGUCGAUGUUUUGGGCUGAGACAUUGACUGUACUCUUUUCUAUAGAUGCUGCCUGGCCUGCUGAGCUCCUGCAGCAUUUUGCGUGUGCUGCUUGGAUUUCCAGCAUCUGCAGAUAUUUUCUUGUUUCAGGUGGGAGGUGUGAUGACCAUGUUAGAUUCAAUUCAAAUUGUGGUUGGUUUAGAUUUUCUUUAUCUGCAGCAUGUUGGGAAAUGAGUUGACAAUAUUCUCAACAUUGUUCCACAGCUGUUUGGAACAUACGGACCUUAAUUAUUUUCUGAAGCCGAGCCUGUACAUAUCAGACAAUGCAAGGUGGAAUUUGAUAUAGCAUGUUACUAAGAUUAUUUGCAUUUCUGAAUCCAUUUGUUUUAAAUCAAUGUAUGACUCCCUGGUUAAAUUCUGGCAUUUGAAUAUUUUGUGGUUACUCUAACUUCAGUUUCUCAGCUUUUUGCAGCCGGAAGUAGAAAGGUUCUUUAACUCUUCCUCCUGCAUCUCACCAAAGUGACUGUGGGUUUUUCUCCCUUGAGGAAUUUUGAAUUUUAAAGGUGAGCUGUGAAAAGUUGUGUAUCUUUAUGUUCCUCUCUGGAACCGCAACACAUCAUCCAUUCUUUCCUUCCUCUCCUGUAAAAACUAAAACAUUGAAUUUCUAGAUGUCCCAUGAUAGGAUAUACAUUUUUGCUUUAACCUGAAGAUUCAAUAAUGCAUACCCGGCUGUGAGAUCCAACAGUUGAAUUCUGAAUAAAUCCAGCAAGUGGCAGGCAAAGACAGCUAUCACUCAGUUAAAGCGGUUUUGCAACAGUAAAAUAACUCAUUAAAAUGGCCAGUUAUUCUAUCUGCAGUCUCUUCUGAGUGCCAUCAUACACAUUAACAACUGCCAUCUAAAUAUUUAUGGCACUGCAUCCUUAACAUGCUGGUUAAGGCAGCCAAAGUGGAGUGCAGAGGCCCUUUGACUAAGACAGGUGUGUGGCAGUCUCCAGUUAGAGCCUUCCCAGAUGACCUCACAGUGACAACUACAUCAGUCAUAGGUUGUAGAUAGAUCCUGCAGGGGUAGAGAGACUCAUCGCAUGGACAAAGAUGAUCAUUAAUAGACAAUAGGUGCAGAAGUAGACCAUUCGGCCCCUCGAGUCUGCACCGCCAUUCUGAGAUCAUGGCUGAUCAUUCACUAUCAAUACCCAGUCCCUGCCUUGUCCCCAUAUCCCUUGAUUCCCCUAUCCAUCAGAUAUCUAUCCAGCUAUCUAUCAGAUAUCCAUCAGAUAUCAUUAAGCCAGAGGAAUCCAGGUUUCUGGUGUUAAAGAAUGGCAGACUCAAGUUCCGUUUCUCCUUUCUCAUGAAACCAGUCAAGAGCCUGGGGAGGGUCUUUAACUGCAGCCUAAGAAAUGCAAUUGCCAUCCAGUAGACCACCAAGGAGUUAGAAGUCUGGCUUACCAAUACGGACAAGUCAGCCCUACCUGACAAGUCCAAGGCCUGGAUCAAGCAGCAUAGCUUCCUCCCCUGAAUCCCCUGGCCCAUGCUAGUAUAUGAGGUAUCCUUGUCAACAGUUGAGCUCUUGAAAGAACCAUUAGUGGCUACCUUCCAAGGUGACUGGGACUCCCACAUAGCCUGAGCAGCACUGCUUUGUACAGGAAGGGGAAUAAAAUGCAGCUUCUCUUCAGCAGGCUGAACAAGGAGUCAUGGUUUCCUGUACAAGUUAAUUGCUGCUGUACAGAGAUGCCAGCAAUCCCAGUCUUGUCAGCAGGCAUUGUGGUCUGGACAGGCAGGAAAUGGAAGGUCGAGAUGCAGUGGAGAUGACUGAGGCACAGGGAUCUGGUAGGGACAGUAGCUUCUGGUCGGGCAGGGCUGGACAGCUUCCUUUGCCCCGCUGUCAUAGGGCCCAGGGCAGGGACAGAUGCAAAUAGGUCAAGGAAGUGAGUACCACCAGGAUGGUAGGAAUGGGGCAGCAGGGAUCUUGAACAAGCUGGAAGGGUAUGCUGAAGCAGAUCUCCUGGUCCAACAUUUAGCAGGCAGAACCCCAGCACGUCAAGUUCAUGAUCCAGGUUGCGUAUGAUGACCUGCCUAAUCCAGCAAACCUUUUUGCUUGGUAUAAAAGUGAGGGCCAUGGCAGAGGGACCCUAGAACACUUCCUCAGCAGCAGACCAAAAGCUUUAGUAGAAGGAUGCUAUCGCUGGCACCAUGGCCUGCUGCUGAAAACAGUGGUAGGUAGUAUUGACAUGGCCAUUACAGCAGUAAGUGCUUCCACAACCCAGAAAACCCGUGGCCUUUGUCAAAGCUGGAGACCAACUACAGCCUCAGCACAGAUCACCAGCAGGCUUGCUCACCAUAGUGUAAUUGAAAGUCAAUCUUGGCAACCAAUUAAAGUUUCCUGACUUCAGUGCAUCAUCGUCCCUGAGGCCUGAUAUGGUCAUUCUGUCAGAAACCUCAAAGCAGGUGCUCAUGGUUGAACUGACAGUGCCUUGGGAAGACCAGAUUGAGGAGACGUUUGGGCAUAAGAAAGCCAAAUACCAGGACCGGUGGAGGGAACGAUGUGAGCCUGUAGAGGUUGGAGGUUAGAGCUUUUUGCUGGCUGCUCGCUGUGCAGAACCUAUUCUCUCCUUGGCAUUACAGGGGCUGCAAAGAAAAGAGCCAUCGAGAACAUCGCAGAGACUGCUAAACAAGCCUCCAAGUGGCUAUGGAUCAAGAGGUGUGACCUGUGAUCAACUCUACUGGGAUAUUAGCCAGGACUUGAUCAACGCUGGCAGGGUUGCCAGGGCGAGGGUGUCUGAUGUUAAAAAGACCAGAAACAGCCGAUGACCCAGGUUUAACAGGGGCACGACUGUGCAAGUGCGUGUAAGUCGGACUGUGAGGCAGCGGGAGUACUUAAAGACGGAGCAGGCGACGGAGUAGGAAGGCUUUGGCGAGCAGAGGCUGAGGACAAGCUUCACUCCAAGUGAGGCAAUUACUUGGGCUGACCCUCUGCUCCAGUGAAUCCACUCCACCAGUAAUGACCAGGACUCACAGACCAAACCGUGCUCACCUGCUGUUCUUGUCAUCAGACACUUUGCACCACAGCUUCUCGGAGAAAUGAUC